CAGCCGCCGCGGUAAUACCGGCGGCCCGAGUGGCGGUCACUAUUAUUGGGCUUAAAGCGUCCGUAGCCGGGUUGGGAAGUCCUCCGGGAAAUCUGGCCGCUUAACGGUCAGAAUGCCGGAGGAUACUCCCAGCCUAGGGAGCGGGAGAGGCCGAGGGGAUUCCCGGAGUAGGGGGGAAAUCCUAUAAUCCCGGGAGGACCACCUGUGGCGAAGGCGCUCGGCUGGAACGCGUCCGACGGUGAGGGACGAAGGCCAGGGGAGCAAACCGGAUUAGAUACCCGGGUAGUCCUGGCGGUAAACGAUGCGGACUUUGUGUCGGACAAGCUAUGAGCUUGUCCGGUGCCGGAGGGAAACCGUUAAGUCCGCCGCCUGGGGAGUACGGCCGCAAGGCUGAAACUUAAAGGAAUUGGCGGG
rnacentral:rRNA from 1 species